rnacentral:lncRNA from 1 species
CGGGUAUUUGAUAUACGCCAAUGGGAUGAUUGAUUGAAUUUUGAUCAUGUAUUCAUCUUGAUUUGACUUUUGGGGUUCCUACUCAGCGUUGCUGAAUUUUCUUUGUUUUUGAUUUUCAGAGCAACCUCCCUCUAGUACUAAAUCGGAUUCCAGUGGAGAGCGGACCUUCCUCUACCGCUAGGUAGAGCCACUUGGAUGACUCUUGAAGUUAACAUCACUAUGUUUACUUU